CCAAAUUAACUCUACCUACGGAAGAACGUGGGCAGAGAAAGUCUUAAUGGUAACAGAAUCAGAAUGCGUAUCCCGUUCAAAGAAAAGAGUAAACCUCACCUACGGAAACGUAGUGUUAGACGAGGGAUGUACUCAAAAGUGAACCCUACCUACGGAAAAACGUAGGUUAGACGGGGAACACAUCGAAAAAAGUGAACCCCACCUACGGAAGAACGUAGGUUAGACGGGGAACACAUCGAAAAGGGUGAACCCCACCUACGGAAGAACGUAGGUUAGACGGGGAACACAUCGGCUAAAGGUGAACCUCACCUACGGAAACGUAGUGUUAGACGAGGGAUAUACUCAAAAAGUGAACCCCACCUACGGAAGAACGUAGGUUAGACGGGGAACACAUCGGCUAAAGGGAGAACCUCACCUACGGAAACGUAGUGUUAGACGAGGGA
rnacentral:lncRNA from 1 species